UACGUAGGUGACCAGCGUUGUCCGGAUUUACUGGGCGUAAAGAGCGCGCAGGCGGUCGUUCAAGUCGAGUGUGAAAGCCCCCGGCUCAACUGGGGAGGGUCAUUCGAUACUGAUCGACUUGAAGGCAGGAGAGGGAAGUGGAAUUCCCGGUGUAGUGGUGAAAUGCGUAGAUAUCGGGAGGAACACCAGUGGCGAAGGCGACUUCCUGGCCUGUUCUUGACGCUGAGGCGCGAAAGCCAGGGGAGCAAACGGG
rnacentral:rRNA from 1 species